ACCUUGCUGGCUCAGUUGGUGAGCAUGAGAUUUUUUAUCUCAGGGUUCUGAGUUCGAGCCCCACGUUGGGUA
rnacentral:tRNA from 1 species